GCCGUUAUUGUCAAGUGUACAGUAGGAAUGUGUUUACAGUGCUGAUAUGCGUCUAAUGAUAUACAUCGAAAAACUCUUACCGGUGCAGUUUCUUGAAGACUGAAUGAAUCAUGGGGGACACGCAACCAUUAAGUGAUGAAGAUUUUUCUCCUGGAUGCAGUAAAUUAUGUGAGAGAUCAAACUCACCAGAGCCCAGCUGUGUGUCCAUGAAGAGUGUUGAAUCUAUGGAUGUACCAUUAAAAUUUGCUGAAGGAAACACACCUACUGAUCUGAGUUGAUUCCAGAAGGAGCGAUCAAACUCACCGGAGCCCAGCUAUGUGUCCAGGAAGAGUGUCGAGUCUAUGGAUGUACCAUUAAGAUUUGCUGGAAGACACACAUCAACUGAUCCAUGGUACAAUAUUUCUGUCUGGAUGUAUAGAGACUUUUUCUGUUAGUAAAGAUUGUGACAUUUUUUUGUGAGUGGAGCCUAGGUGGAGGCAAAAAGAUUCCCCUGACCGCUUCACUAACGCUAGCUAGUAAGGUUUUUUUUUUAAAGUUUGUUUUUUAACAAAAACUUGAGAAAAUCUGAUUUUAUUUGCAUAUGUAAGGUCACUCUCUGUUAAACAUUAAAAUGAAGGAUGAUGUACAUGGUAGGGCAUCAG